ensembl:ncRNA T04C10.6 ncRNA
CUUAUUAAUUUCGCGAAGAAUGAGCACAGCAGGUGUGACAAACACCAACCGGGACCCCACUAACACUUGUUUUACAAACGGAAGACAAACGGCGAGAAAAGAUCGCUCAUGAUUUGUUAAACUC